UACGGAGGGUGCAAGCGUUAAUCGGAAUUACUGGGCGUAAAGCGCGCGUAGGCGGUUUUCUAAGUCGGAUGUGAAAGCCCCGGGCUCAACCUGGGAACUGCAUCCGAUACUGGAAGACUAGAAUGCGGGAGAGGGAGGUAGAAUUCCAUGUGUAGCAGUGAAAUGCGUAGAUAUAUGGAGGAAUACCAGUGGCGAAGGCGGCCUCCUGGCUCGACAUUGACGCUGAGGUGCGAAAGCGUGGGGAGCAAACGGU
rnacentral:rRNA from 1 species